rnacentral:rRNA from 1 species
GAUGAACGCUGGCGGCGUGCCUAAUACAUGCAAGUCGAGCGAAUGGAUUAAGAGCUUGCUCUUAUGAAGUUAGCGGCGGACGGGUGAGUAACACGUGGGUAACCUGCCCAUAAGACUGGGAUAACUCCGGGAAGCCGGGGCUAAUACCGGAUAACAUUUUGAACCGCAUGGUUCGAAAUUGAAAGGCGGCUUCGGCUGUCACUUAUGGAUGGACCCGCGUCGCAUUAGCUAGUUGGUGAGGUAACGGCUCACCAAGGCAACGAUGCGUAGCCGGCCUGAGAGGGUGAUCGGCGACACUGGGACUGAGACACGGCCCAGACUCCUACGGGAGGCGGCAGUAGGGAAGCUUCCGCAAUGGACGAAAGUCUGACAGAGCAACGCCGCGUGAGUGAUGAAGGCUUUCGGGUCGUAAAACUCUGUUGUUAGGGAAGAACAAGUGCUAGUUGAAUAAGCUGGCACCUUGACGGUACCUAACCAGAAAGCCACGGCUAACUACGUGCCAGCCGCCGCGGUAA